rnacentral:lncRNA from 1 species
UUGCCUUGUUAUUGAGCUUGCUAGUGAGCUUAGGCUUUGUGCGCUUUGCCUCACUAGUUUGUGUAGGAGCUCCCAAAGUGGCUAUAAAAACUUCCUCUUCUAGUUUGGGGGAUGAUUCCUUCUCUACCUCUACGAUUUCAUUAUGAAGGCUAGUGCAAGUAGUGUGUCCACUAAUAAGGACAAACCUCUCCUCACUAUGGGAUAAAGAAAGGAAAACUCCUCCCAAGACAGUAUUAUCAAGACCCAUAUAAAGAUGUUUAAGAAGAACAGGGUCUUGUAGGUCUAAGCCUAAAUUUAUAGUAAGAAUAAAAGAUUCCCUAAGUAUAGCUAAAAGUUUAUUACCUACUUGAUCAGAAGAUAUGCAUUACCUUCUUGAUAAGAAGAUAUGACUCUAGCUGUGGAAAGGGUUGGCUUUGACCUAUUUCAACAAAUCAUGGGCAUAGCUCAUAGCUAGAUGUGAUAAUCAUGGGCUCUAGUGGCUCUAAGCUUACGCUCAUGGGUGCAAGAAUUUGAUAGAUAGGCAUGGAAUUUGGGUUAUCUAUAAAGAUAGAAAAGAAAAGGAAAAAGAAAAGAUGAGAUAAAAUAAAAAGAUAGAAGUAUAUUACAAGGUAGAUUAAGACUAGGUUAUCUAAGCAGACCGUCUUUCUCUCCGGCAAUGGCAUCAUAAAUGCUUGUUGAUAUUAGUUACGCACACGAAAUAAUCUUAAGAAAUUAUCUACAAGCGCACAGAUAUCGGUGAGCACUUCACCCGGGAGAUAAGUCCAAAGUAUCGUAUUUAUACUUUUACCACUAGGAGAAAGCGUGCAAAAGACUAACCUUGGUCUUAACUACUACCCACGGGCUGCAAUACAAGAUAGUGAGAUAUGAGCGAUAUAGAGAGAACUCCUUCGUCAGUCUUCUUCUAACCUAUGGUAAGCUGUGUAGAUAUUGUUCUAACGGGAGUAACUAGAGAAAAGAGACACCUCAAAGAAUGCUUAACCCUAGAACCAUAUAUCCUACCUUACCUCCUGACGAGACGUGGAUUAUUGAGACCCGAGAGGAUUGUCACUUCCCCCCAAAAAGGCUACCACAAAUCCGGCCACAUAGGGAGUAUCUACGAGUGUUGCUAGCCCAAGCACCACGCUUACACUACGAACGAUUACUCUAUUCCCAAGCGCAAGCAAAUAAAGUAAACUCGUAAACCAAAGAACAAUAAGAACAAUAGACUUACUAGUAUUAGAAGUUGAAUUGCUGAAUGAUUCUAGAACCAAGCCUCGGUUAGGAGACUUGAUGCGGA